CACACUAUCAUUAACUGAAUCCAUAGGUUAAUGAGGCGAACCGGGGGAACUGAAACAUCUAAGUACCCCGAGGAAAAGAAAUCAACCGAGAUUCCCCCAGUAGCGGCGAGCGAACGGGGAGGAGCCCAGAGCCUGAAUCAGUGUGUGUGUUAGUGGAAGCGUCUGGAAAGGCGCGCGAUACAGGGUGACAGCCCCGUACACAAAAAUGCACAUACUGUGAGCUCGAUGAGUAGGGCGGGACACGUGGUAUCCUGUCUGAAUAUGGGGGGACCAUCCUCCAAGGCUAAAUACUCCUGACUGACCGAUAGUGAACCAGUACCGUGAGGGAAAGGCGAAAAGAACCCCGGCGAGGGGAGUGAAAAAGAACCUGAAACCGUGUACGUACAAGCAGUGGGAGCCUCUUAAUGGGGUGACUGCGUACCUUUUGUAUAAUGGGUCAGCGACUUAUAUUCUGUAGCAAGGUUAACCGAAUAGGGGAGCCGAAGGGAAACCGAGUCUUAACUGGGCGUUAAGUUGCAGGGUAUAGACCCGAAACCCGGUGAUCUAGCUAUGGGCAGGUUGAAGGUUGGGUAACACUAACUGGAGGACCGAACCGACUAAUGUUGAAAAAUUAGCGGAUGACUUGUGGCUGGGGGUGAAAGGCCAAUCAAACCGGGAGAUAGCUGGUUCUCCCCGAAAGCUAUUUAGGUAGCGCCUCGUGAAUUCAUCUCCGGGGGUAGAGCACUGUUUCGGCAAGGGGGUCAUCCCGACUUACCAACCCGAUGCAAACUGCGAAUACCGGAGAAUGUUAUCACGGGAGACACACGGCGGGUGCUAACGUCCGUCGUGAAGAGGGAAACAACCCAGACCGCCAGCUAAGGUCCCAAAGUCAUGGUUAAGUGGGAAACGAUGUGGGAAGGCCCAGACAGCCAGGAUGUUGGCUUAGAAGCAGCCAUCAUUUAAAGAAAGCGUAAUAGCUCACUGGUCGAGUCGGCCUGCGCGGAAGAUGUAACGGGGCUAAACCAUGCACCGAAGCUGCGGCAGCGACGCUUAUGCGUUGUUGGGUAGGGGAGCGUUCUGUAAGCCUGUGAAGGUGGCCUGUGAGGGUUGCUGGAGGUAUCAGAAGUGCGAAUGCUGACAUAAGUAACGAUAAAGCGGGUGAAAAGCCCGCUCGCCGGAAGACCAAGGGUUCCUGUCCAACGUUAAUCGGGGCAGGGUGAGUCGACCCCUAAGGCGAGGCCGAAAGGCGUAGUCGAUGGGAAACAGGUUAAUAUUCCUGUACUUGGUGUUACUGCGAAGGGGGGACGGAGAAGGCUAUGUUGGCCGGGCGACGGUUGUCCCGGUUUAAGCGUGUAGGCUGGUUUUCCAGGCAAAUCCGGAAAAUCAAGGCUGAGGCGUGAUGACGAGGCACUACGGUGCUGAAGCGACAAAUGCCCUGCUUCCAGGAAAAGCCUCUAAGCAUCAGGUAACAUUAAAUCGUACCCCAAACCGACACAGGUGGUCAGGUAGAGAAUACCAAGGCGCUUGAGAGAACUCGGGUGAAGGAACUAGGCAAAAUGGUGCCGUAACUUCGGGAGAAGGCACGCUGAUAUGUAGGUGAAGCGACUUGCUCGUGGAGCUGAAAUCAGUCGAAGAUACCAGCUGGCUGCAACUGUUUAUUAAAAACACAGCACUGUGCAAACACGAAAGUGGACGUAUACGGUGUGACGCCUGCCCGGUGCCGGAAGGUUAAUUGAUGGGGUUAGCGGUAACGCGAAGCUCUUGAUCGAAGCCCCGGUAAACGGCGGCCGUAACUAUAACGGUCCUAAGGUAGCGAAAUUCCUUGUCGGGUAAGUUCCGACCUGCACGAAUGGCGUAAUGAUGGCCAGGCUGUCUCCACCCGAGACUCAGUGAAAUUGAACUCGCUGUGAAGAUGCAGUGUACCCGCGGCAAGACGGAAAGACCCCGUGAACCUUUACUAUAGCUUGACACUGAACAUUGAGCCUUGAUGUGUAGGAUAGGUGGGAGGCUUUGAAGUGUGGACGCCAGUCUGCAUGGAGCCGACCUUGAAAUACCACCCUUUAAUGUUUGAUGUUCUAACGUGGGCCCCUUACCGGGGUUGCGGACAGUGUCUGGUGGGUAGUUUGACUGGGGCGGUCUCCUCCUAAAGAGUAACGGAGGAGCACGAAGGUUGGCUAAUCCUGGUCGGACAUCAGGAGGUUAGUGCAAUGGCAUAAGCCAGCUUGACUGCGAGCGUGACGGCGCGAGCAGGUGCGAAAGCAGGUCAUAGUGAUCCGGUGGUUCUGAAUGGAAGGGCCAUCGCUCAACGGAUAAAAGGUACUCCGGGGAUAACAGGCUGAUACCGCCCAAGAGUUCAUAUCGACGGCGGUGUUUGGCACCUCGAUGUCGGCUCAUCACAUCCUGGGGCUGAAGUAGGUCCCAAGGGUAUGGCUGUUCGCCAUUUAAAGUGGUACGCGAGCUGGGUUUAGAACGUCGUGAGACAGUUCGGUCCCUAUCUGCCGUGGGCGCUGGAGAACUGAGGGGGGCUGCUCCUAGUACGAGAGGACCGGAGUGGACGCAUCACUGGUGUUCGGGUUGUCAUGCCAAUGGCACUGCCCGGUAGCUAAAUGCGGAAGAGAUAAGUGCUGAAAGCAUCUAAGCACGAAACUUGCCCCGAGAUGAGUUCUCCCUGACUCCUUGAGAGUCCUGAAGGAACGUUGAAGACGACGACGUUGAUAGGCCGGGUGUGUAAGCGCAGCGAUGCGUUGAGCUAACCGGUACUAAUGAACCGUGAGGCUUAACCUUACAACGCCGAAGGUGUUU
rnacentral:rRNA from 1 species